AACACAUCAACACAUGCGCCUAGCUUGAGAGUGUCAAUGGGGCAUGUUUGCUGUGCCGGGGGUGGUGGAUAUAGCACAGGUGGUGGUGGUGGACAAGGGGUCUCCACUGGAGGUGGCUUCACAACGGGAGGACUUGGGUAUACAGGAGGCGUUGGUGUUGGCGGCUUCACAAUGGGAGGACUUGGGUAUACAGGAGGCUUUGGAACUGGCGGCUUCACAAUGGGAGGACUGGGGUAGACGGGAGGCUUUGGAACUGGCGGCUUCACAAUGGGAGGACUGGGGUAGACGGGAGGCUUUGGCGCUGGCGGCUUUACAAUAGGAGGACUGGGGUAGACGGGAGGCUUUGGUGGUGGUGAAAUGACUGGGGGUUUAGGAUAGUGAGGUGGUGGGGGAUUAACGACAGGAGGUUUGGGUACAUGAGGAGGCUUUACGACGGGAGGGUUGGGAGGAUGAUGAGGCGGAUGUUUUGGUGGUUUGGGGUGAAAUGGGGGCUUCACAAUGGGAGGAUGUUUGGGUGGGAAAGUUGGAGGACAGUUGGGUGGAGGAGUUGGACGGGGACAUAGAGGACAAGCAAAAGAAGCAAGCAAAGCUCCCAAGUUCAGAAGCAGGACAAUGAGAUUGGGUAAACUAUAGUUCCCCAUCACUGAACUUGCUACUUUCCUCCCU
rnacentral:lncRNA from 1 species